GUAGGGUGCAAGCGUUAUCCGGAAUCAUUGGGCGUAAAGAGCUCGUAGGCGGUUCAGCAAGUCGGCUGUGAAAUUCCGAGGCUCAACCUCGGAACUGCAGUCGAUACUGCUGUGACUCGAGUCCGGUAGAGGAGAAUGGAAUUCCCGGUGUAGCGGUGAAAUGCGCAGAUAUCGGGAGGAACACCAGUAGCGAAGGCGGUUCUCUGGGCCGGCACUGACGCUGAGGAGCGAAAGCGUGGGGUAGCAAACAGGAUUAGAUACCCUGGUAGUCCACGCCGUAAACGUUGGAUACUAGGUGUGGGGUUCCGAUCAACGGUCCCCGUGCCGAAGCUAACGCAUUAAGUAUCCCCGCCUGGGAGUACGGCCGCAAGGCUA
rnacentral:rRNA from 1 species